AUGGGGCUUGGGCUCCACCUGCUUGUCCUGGCCGCAGCUCUGCAAGGUGCCUGGUCCCAGGGGCAGCUGGUAGAGUCUGGAGGAGAUGUGAGGAAACCUGGAGACUCUCUGACCCUCUCCUGCAAAGCCUCUGGGUUCACCUUCAGUAGCUUCUACAUGAACUGGGUCUGCCAGGCUCCUGGGAAGGGGCUGGAUUGGGUGGCUAGAAUUAAGAGUGAUGGAUCCAGCAAGUGGUACUCCCCGGCUGUUCAGGGGCGAUUCACCAUCUCCAGAGACAACUCCCAGAACAUGCUGUACCUCCAGAUGAGCAGCCUCAAACCCGAGGACACAGCCCUGUAUUACUGUACCACAGACACACAGUGA